UACGGAGGGUGCAAACGUUGCUCGGAAUCAUUGGGCGUAAAGCGCACGUAGGCGGCUCGUUAAGUCGGAUGUGAAAGCCCUGGGCUCAACCCAGGAAGUGCAUACGAAACUGGCGAGCUUGAGUAUGGAAGAGGGUCGCGGAAUUCCCGGUGUAGAGGUGAAAUUCGUAGAUAUUGGGAAGAACACCGGUGGCGAAAGGCGGGUCUC
rnacentral:rRNA from 1 species